rnacentral:rRNA from 1 species
UACGGAGGUCUCAAGCGUUGUUCGGAAUCACUGGGCGUAAGGCGUGCGUAGGCUGUUUCGUAAGUCGUGUGUGAAAGGCGCGGGCUCAACCCGCGGACGGCACAUGAUACUGCGAGACUAGAGUAAUGGAGGGGGAACCGGAAUUCUCGGUGUAGCAGUGAAAUGCGUAGAUAUCGAGAGGAACACUCGUGGCGAAGGCGGGUUCCUGGACAUUAACUGACGCUGAGGCACGAAGGCCAGGGGAGCGAAAGGG